AACGAACGCUGGCGGCAUGCCUAACACAUGCAAGUCGAACGAGAUCUUCGGGUCUAGUGGCGCACGGGUGCGUAACGCGUGGGAAUCUGCCCUUUGGUUCGGAAUAACAGUUGGAAACGACUGCUAAUACCGGAUGAUGACGAAAGUCCAAAGAUUUAUCGCCAGAGGAUGAGCCCGCGUAGGAUUAGCUAGUUGGUGUGGUAAAGGCGCACCAAGGCGACGAUCCUUAGCUGGUCUGAGAGGAUGAUCAGCCACACUGGGACUGAGACACGGCCCAGACUCCUACGGGAGGCAGCAGUGGGGAAUAUUGGACAAUGGGCGAAAGCCUGAUCCAGCAAUGCCGCGUGAGUGAUGAGGGCCUUAGGGUUGUAAAGCUCUUUUACCCGGGAUGAUAAUGACAGAACCGGGAGAAUAAGCUCCGGCUAACUCCGUGCCAGCCGCCGCGGUAA
rnacentral:rRNA from 1 species